rnacentral:rRNA from 1 species
UAGCGUAUAUUUAAGUUGUUGCAGUUAAAAAGCUCGUAGUUGGAUUUUGGUUAAGAGGGCGCGGUCGGCCGUUUGGUCUGUACUGCGUUGUCUUGACUUCCUGAUGAGGACAUGCUCUUGGUUAACGCUGAGACAUGGAGUCAUCGUGGUUACUUUGAAAAAAUUAGAGUGUUCAAAGCGGGCUUACGCUUGAAUAUAUUAGCAUGGAAUAACACUAUAGGACUCCUGUCCUAUCUCGUUGGUCUCGGGAUGGGAGUAAUGAUUAAGAGGAACAGUUGGGGGCAUUCGUAUUUCAUUGUCAGAGGUGAAAUUCUUGGAUUUAUGAAAGACGAACUUCUGCGAAAGCAUUUGCCAAGGAUGUUUUCAUUAAUCAAGAACGAAAGUUGGGGGCUCGAAGAUGAUUAGAUACCAUCCUAGUCUCAACCAUAAACGAUGCCGACUAGGGAUUGGUGGGAUGUUAAUUGAUGACUUCACCAGCACCUUAUGAGAAAUCAAAGUUUUUGGGUUCCGGGGGGAGUAUGGUCGCAAGGCUGAAACUUAAAGGAAUUGACGGAAGGGCACCACCAGGCGUGGAGCCUGCGGCUUAAUUUGACUCAACAC